GAGAAACAAAGAGGGAAUGGGGUAAACAGAGACACAUAGAUUGGCUGGAGGGAAAAAUACACGCAGAAUGCUUGGAGGGAAAAAGACACAGAGGGACUGCUGGAAAGAGAUAAAAAGGGGCUGGGGAGAAGAGAGAAACAAAAAGGGGCUGUGGGGCAAAGACACAGAGAACAAGGGAACAAAGAGGGGUCUGGGGGAAAAAAAGACACUUAAAAGGGAUGACGGAGAAGAGAAACAUAAAAAGAGGCUGGAAGAGAAUGAGACACACCAACUGAGGGGCAGGGUGGAAGAGAUACACACAAAUUAGUUACGGCAGAAAGCGACACUCAAAGUUGGUUGGCAAUUUUUGCUUUUGGCGGGGAUGCAAGUAGUUGGUCUCACCUAGGGUGCAAAAUAGUCUUGCACAGUCCUGACCUGACCUCUCCAAGGGCCCCCCAUGGACCACUAUUUUCUUAUUGUCUCUUUAAUUCUUAUCUGCCUCUUCAUCAGUGUUUUGGGGGCUUUUGCAUUUGUUUAAUGCACAUUUUUACCUGCUUCCUCCAUACACUUGAAACUAUUGCAUGGGUUAUUAUGCUAACCAACUGAUUCGUAACUAUUUUGCACUGAUUCCAAGUUGCACUGCUUAUCUCCGUAUCGCUAUGCUAUGUUUGUGUAUGUACAACCUGUGUCUUUUCUUUCAAACAUUUUCAAUAAAAAUAUACAUUGAAAAAAUAAUUAAAA